rnacentral:rRNA from 1 species
AGAGUUUGAUCAUGGCUCAGAUUGAACGCUGGCGGCAGGCUUAACACAUGCAAGUCGAGCGGUAACAGGGGAAGCUUGCUUCCCGCUGACGAGCGGCGGACGGGUGAGUAAUGCUUAGGAAUCUGCCCAGUAGUGGGGGAUAGCCCGGGGAAACCCGGAUUAAUACCGCAUACGUCCUACGGGAGAAAGCAGGGGAUCUUCGGACCUUGCGCUAUUGGAUGAGCCUAAGUCGGAUUAGCUAGUUGGUGGGGUAAAGGCCUACCAAGGCGACGAUCCGUAGCUGGUCUGAGAGGAUGAUCAGCCACAUCGGGACUGAGACACGGCCCGAACUCCUACGGGAGGCAGCAGUGGGGAAUAUUGGACAAUGGGGGCAACCCUGAUCCAGCCAUGCCGCGUGUGUGAAGAAGGCUUUCGGGUUGUAAAGCACUUUCAGUAGGGAGGAAAACCUUAUGGUUAAUACCCAUGAGGCUUGACGUUACCUACAGAAGAAGCACCGGCUAACUCCGUGCCAGCAGCCGCGGUAAUACGGAGGGUGCAAGCGUUAAUCGGAAUUACUGGGCGUAAAGCGCGCGUAGGUGGUUUGGUAAGCGAGAUGUGAAAGCCCCGGGCUUAACCUGGGAACGGCAUUUCGAACUGUCAGACUAGAGUGUGGUAGAGGGUAGUGGAAUUUCCUGUGUAGCGGUGAAAUGCGUAGAUAUAGGAAGGAACACCAGUGGCGAAGGCGGCUACCUGGACCAACACUGACACUGAGGUGCGAAAG